GCUCAACCGAGGAAGUGCUUCGAAAACUGGUAAACUUGAGUGCAGAAGAGGAAAGUGGAACUCCAUGUGUAGCGGUGGAAUGCGUAGAUAUAUGGAAGAACACCAGUGGCGAAGGCGGCUUUCUGGUCUGUAACUGACGCUGAGAUUCGAAAGCAUGGGUAGCGAACAGGAUUAGAUACCCUGGUAGUCCAUGCCGUAAACGAUGAGUGCUAAGUGUUGGAGGGUUUCCGCCCUUCAGUGCUGCAGCUAACGCAUUAAGCACUCCGCCUGGGGAGUACGAUCGCAAGAUUGAAACUCAAAGGAAUUGACGGGGGCCCGCACAAGCGGUGGAGCAUGUGGUUUAAUUCGAAGCAACGCGAAGAACCUUACCAGGUCUUGACAUACCAUGAAGAGCUAAGAGAUUAGUCUUUCCCUUCGGGGACAUGGAUACAGGUGGUGCAUGGUUGUCGUCAGCUCGUGUCGUGAGAUGUUGGGUUAAGUCCCGCAACGAGCGCAACCCUUAUUAUCAGUUGCCAGCAUUCAGUUGGGCACUCUGGUGAGACUGCCGGUGACAAACCGGAGGAAGGUGGGGACGACGUCAAAUCAUCAUGCCCCUUAUGACCUGGGCUACACACGUGCUACAAUGGAUGGUACAACG
rnacentral:rRNA from 1 species